CGCGACCCUGGGAUUGAACACGCGACCCAGGGAUUGAACACGCGACCCAGGGAUUGAACACGCGACCCAGGGAUUGAACACACGACUCCGGGAUUGAACACACGACUCCGGGAUUGAACUCGCGACCCAGGGAUUGAACACACUAACAGUCACUGUGUACUCGGGCUCCUCCCUCACUGAGGUGGAAUCACUAACAGACACUGUGUACUCAGGCUCCUCCAUCACUGAGGUGGAAUCACUAACAGACACUGUGUACUCAGGCUCCUCCAUCACUGAGGUGGAAUCACUAACAGACACUGUGUACUCAGGCUCCUCCAUCACUGAGGUGGAAUCACUAACAGACACUGUGUACUCAGGCUCCUCCCUCACUGAGGUGGAAUCACUAACAGACACUGUGUACUCAGGCUCCUCCCUCACCGAGGUGGAAUCACUAACAGACACUGUGUACUCAGGCUCCUCCAUCACUGAGCAGGUAGGGGUGAGGAUCUCGUGUGUAUUGUGAUGGGAUUUUAUAUUGUGAUAAUAAGAUGUUUUCUGGGUGUUUUUCUGGUUGUAUAGAGCUCCCCUCUAUUGGGUCACUGUCAGGGGAAACGUACAGUAUUUCGGUUGGCAAAAUGUUCCUUUUCUCCUUUCUUCUUCGCUGGCAAAACCAAAUAAAAGGGGACGCAGUGUUAUUGAGGCCCUGUUUUUUUUCUAUAAUCUACUAUAGGCCUAUAAAUUAAAACGAUAGAGAGCAAUAUUAAUGGCGUCUUUUUGAGGGCGCUAAAGGAGGCUAACUCCACCUUGAACUCGCGACUCUGGGAUUGAACACGCGACUCUGGGAUUGAACACGCGACUCCGGGAUUGAACACGUGACUCCGGGAUUGAACACGCGACUCUGGGAUUGAACACGCGCCUCUGGGAUUGAACACGCGACCCAGGGAUUCAACACGCGACCCAGGGAUUCAACACGCGACUCCGGGAUUGAACACGCGACUCCGGGAUUGAACACGCGACUCUGGGAUUGAACACGCGACCCAGGGAUUGAACACGCGACUCUGGGAUUGAACUCGCGACU
ensembl:lncRNA